AAUUAAAAAACUAAAACUCUCGAUCUCCUCGCUUAAACAUAUAGAAGAUUUCUUCUCUCUACAAUUAACGAAUUAAAUUGGCCCUAAUUUGCAUCUCUCAAUUUGCUCUUCUCACUGUUGUGUGCUAAUUCUCUCCUCACUAUAUGAAAUUCGCUGUGACGUGCGCAAACUUGAUACUCAAUUCCCUUCGGGAGAGGAUCUAGACUUUGUUUAUGAUAGCAUUUUAGCCUUCUCAACAAGAAGAGAAAACCAAGAGACGGUUUUCGGAAGCGAAGAAGGAUUGAAGGAUAUAAGAUUAAGGGAAUUAGCAGACACUUUAGAAAGAGUUAUCUAUGAUUUCACACCUCAGAUCGAGUAGCCGGCGCCGGCAAAGGUAAGUUACCCUCUUUGCCUUCCUCCCUCUCCCUCUCUCUCUUUCUCCCUUUCUCUACAGCUCUUUUGAGCUACCCCUCUCCCUUCCUCCCCCUUCUUUGCUUUUUAGUGGCGGAUAUCACUGGCGGGACUAGGAUCGGCUCCGACGGCGGUCACCAAAACACAGAUCCGGUAAAGCACAGUAGACGCUCCAGUGACGGCAACAUCUGAUGAUAUUCUGGUGACAGCUUUUUGGCAAUGUUGUUUUCACCAACCAACUCUGCCAAGAAAAUUGACGGUACCAUAAGCACCCAGGAUUACCCCGGUGACAUCUAAACUUUGAUAUUUAGAAAUUUGCACUAGUUAAUAUUUUUACCAUUUCAUUUGUACUGUUUUGUUUCCUGUGAGUAUACUUAUGACUGCCUACUGUUUCCCUAUUGCUUUCACACUGCUUUUCUAUUUUCAUGCUUUCCUAUUAUUGCCUUAUUUUGUUGUCUUUCGGUCUAUUGGUUUGAGGCUCUGUUUGGACUUGGUUUCAGUUCUUAAGUGGUGGCUGGAGGGGUUGAUGGUGGAAUAUGGUCAUGUCUGAGGGGUAAAGAGGGGAGGGCAGGGGUAUGUGUGUGGUCUAUGUCGAGUGUUAGGGCUGGUGCAGUGAGGGGUGGUAGAGGGAGGCGAGAGGUGAGAGUAGAUAGGUUGAGAGUAGGGUCUUGGAAUAUAGGGACCCUUCAGGGUAAGUCAAUAGAAUUGGUGAAGAUUCUUAAGAGGAGGAAGAUUAAUAUUGUGUGUGUCCAGGAGACCAAGUGGGUAGGGUCUAAGGCUAGGGAUGUGGAUGGUUACAAGCUUUGGUACUCUGGAAGCGAGAGGCAUAGGAAUGAAAUUGGCAUCUUGGUAGAUGAAAAGCUUAAAGGGCAGGUAGUGGAGGUUAAGAGAAUUAGUGAUAGGCUGAUGACUAUUAAGUUGGUCUUAGGGGGGUUUACCCUGAAUGUAUGUAGUGUGUAUGCACCACAGGUGGGCUUGGAGGGGGAGAAGAAAAUAUGGUUUUGGGAGGUUUUGGAUGAGGUGGUGAGAAGCGUGCCUAGCUAAAAAAAGAUCGUUGUAGCAGGGGAUUUUAAUGGGCACAUCGGGGCGUUAUUGAGAGGCUUUGAUGAUGUGCAUGGUGGUUUUGGUUUUGGGGUGAGAAAUGAAGAGGGAGAUGCUCUAUUGGAUUUGGUGAGGUCCUUUAGGCUGGUGGUGGUGAAUUCGAGCUUUUCGAAGAAGGACGAUCACCUAAUCACCUUUUGAAACGCGAUAGCCAAGACCCAAAUUGACUUUUUGCUACUUAGGAAAGGGGAUAGGGUUUUGUGUAAGGACUGUAAGGUCUUUCUGAGUGAUAAUCUUUCGACCCAGCAUAAGCUCUUAGAGAUGGACUUGGGUAUUAGGAAGGAUAAAAAGAAUAGGGGUACGGAGGGUAGACCGAUAAUUAAGUAGGGUAGCUUGUCGUCGGUGAAUGCAUGGGAGAUAGAGGAGAAGUUGGAGGGCAUAGAGGUGUGAGAGGGUAGGGGAGACGUAGAUGGUAUGUGGGAUAGGGUGGCUAAGUGCAUCAGGGAGACUGCUACUGAGGUGUUGGGUGUGUCUAGGGGCAGGGCCAGUUAUUAUCGGGGGGAUUGGUGAUGGAAUAAAGAAGUUAAGAAGAAAGUGGAGACUAAGAAGGGGGUGUAUGCUAAGUUGGUUGAGAGUAAGGAUGUAGAAGAGAAGUGGGUAAAUAGAGAGAAGUAUAAGUUAGCAAGGAAGGGGGCUAAGCUAGCAAUUACAACUGCUAAGACGGCGGAGUUUAAGAGCUUGUAUGCGGGGUUAGAGGAGAAAAGAGGGGAAAAGAGGUUAUUUAGGCUGGCUAAGGCUAGGGAGAGGAAGAGUCAUGACCUCGAUCAGGUCAAGUACAUUAAGGGGAAGGAUGGUAGAGUGUUGAUGGAGGAUGUUCACAUUAAGAAAAAAUGGUAGUUGUAUUUUCAUAGGCUCUUGAAUGAUGAAGAGGAUAGAGUUAUGGUGUUAGGGGAGCUGGAGCAAUCAGAGGAGCAUCGUGAUUUCAGUUAUUGUAGACGUUUUAAGGUGGAGAAGGUCAGAGAGGCUAUUCGCAGGAUGCGAAGGGGUAGGGCGACGUGGCCUGAUGAGAUCCUUGUGGACUUUUAGAAGUUUGUUGGAGAGAAUGGUUUAAGGUGGUUGACUGAUGUGUUUAAUGAUAUUUUCAAGUUGGCGAAAAUGCACGACGCAUGGAGGUGGAGCAUUAUGAUCCCUCUGUAUAAGAAUAAGGGUGACAUUAAGUAUUACAAUAAUUAUCGGGGUAUUAAGUUAUUGAGUCACACUAUGAUAAUUUGAGAGAGAGUGGUUAAGUUGAGGUUGAGGAGGAUAGUCUCUAUUUCAGAGAACCAGUUUAGAUUAAUGCCCGGACGCUCGACGACGGAGAUAAUUCACCUGGUUUGGAGACUGGUGGAACAGUACAGAGAAAGAAAGAAGGAUCUGCACAUGGUGUUUAUCAACUUGGAGAAGGCAUACGACAAAGUCCCUUGGGAAGUUCUUUGGAGAUGCCUGGAGGUGAGUGGGGUCCCGGUGGCAUAUAUUAGAGAAAUCAAGGACAUGUAUGAUAGAGCUAAGACUCAGGUGAGGACGGCGGGUGGUGAUUCUAAACAUUUCCCUAUCCUGACAGGGUUACAUCAGGGGUCUACUCUUAGCCCAUUUUUUUUGCUUUGGUGAUGGAUGUGUUGACGCGGUGUAUUCAAGGUGAGGUGCCCUGGUGUAUGCUUUUUACAGAUGAUGUGGUUUUGAUUAAUAAGACUCGGGGGGGGGGGGGGGGGGGUGAAUGAUAAAUUAGAACUGUGGAGAGACCCUUGAGUCUAAAGGGUUCAGGUUAAGUAGGAGCAAGACCGAGUAUUUAGAAUGUAAGUUUGAUGGCUCGAGGGAGGGUGAUGACGUGGUAGUAAGGCUGGAGUCUCAGGUGGUGUAUAAGAGGGAUAGUUUUAAGUAUCUUGGGUCCAUGAUUCAAGGGAAUGGUGAGAUUGACGAAAAUGUCUCUCACUAUAUCAAGGUGGGAUAGAUGAAGUAGAAGCUCGCCUCGGGGGUGUUGUCUGAUAAGAAGGUGUCGCCCAAGAUUAAAGGCAAAUUUUACAGGGUAGCAGUCCGCCCGGCCAUGUUGUAUGGAGCAGAGUAUAGGCCAGUCAAGAACUCUCACAUUCAGAAAUUGAAGGUGGUGGAAAUACGGAUGUUGCGUUGGAUAUGUGGGCUUACUAGGGGCGAUAGAGUUUGGAAUGAGACUAUCCGAGAAAAGAUUGGAGUGGCUUCGGCGGAGGACUAGAUGUGAGAGGUUCAUUUGAGAUGGUUCGAACACGUGAUGAGGAGGGGUACGGAGGCACCGAUUUAUAGGUGUGAGAGGCUUGCUUUGGAUGGUUUCAGAUGGGGCAGGGGUAGGCCGAAGAAGUACAGGAGAGAGGUGAUUAGGUAGGACAUGAAGCAGUUACAGCUUACUGAAGACAUGACCGUAGAUAGGAAGAUCUGGAGGACGCGUAUUAGGAUGGAAGGUUAGUGCCAAUUUGGGUAGGUAUGGUAGGGCAUUACUUGGUGGGUGUAGUAUUCUUAUUAUGAUUUCUUGUUGCUUGUAGUAUUACGAUUGUUUACUAGUCUUUGUUUACUCUUUUCCUGUAUGUGGCGUCUCUAUGUUUUGUCUUGUUCUAGGUUUUUUGGUAUGACUUUGAUUACUAUUCCUUGUCGUGAGCUGGGGGUCUAUCAGAAACAGCCUUGCUACUUCCCUGGGAGUAAUGGUAUGGACUGCGUAUAUCUUAUCCUCCCCAGACCUUACUAUGUAGGAAUACACUGGGUUUGUUGUUGUUUGUUGUUUGUAUAAUAUAUCAGGGACUUGAUCAUGGGUAUGUAAGCUCGCAGUCUUCUUGUCUUAACUCGAAUGCAAUGGCAUUAGUUUAUCUUGCCCCAUUGAUCUGAUCAAUCUUCAGUUCCAGAUUAUCUUUAUUCCAGAAUUAGAAACUGCAUAUUAAGAGGCAACUUAGAUACCAGAGAGUUGAUAAAGGCAAUUUAGUUUGCACAAGAUGGUGCAUCUCUCUCUCGCUUUUUUUUUUGGAAAUAUGUGAAAUAUAACAUUCUUAGAACCUCAUCUUUGCUUCUUCAUAUAUUAAAAUGAAUUUGUCUAGGAUUAAUUUGUUUUUACAUAUGCCAUGAUUUUAUCUGAUAUUGAUGGUUUGCUUAAUCAUCAGAGAAGCAACUAUAGCGUUAAAAGCUAAAGAAUUGGAGUUGCAGAAACAACUAAGAUGAUUGCAGUCUCAAUAUGAUAUGCUCACUGGGCAGACUUCUACAUUGAUUUAGGGAAGAAGGGCUCGAGUUGUAGCAACUUCUAUUCUAAUAGAUAGCAGGCUACCACAGAUAAUAGCCUUUCAACAAGAAAUUUAGAGGAGUUACUUGAUUUAGGCGAAACAACAGGAACUGAAAGUCGAGGACUUGAUUAUUUUUUAGCCCUGUGAUGGAAGUUGGCAAUUUAAACUGAAAGCCGAUGACUUAAGCAGUAGAAACAGGAGUUACUUGAUUAUUUUUUUGCUAUGUAUUCAAAUGUUAUAGAAAAUUUGAUAUCAUACUCUUGCUCGAUCGGGAUGGUAACUAUGUUUUUUGUGAAACAAAUAUUGAAACUAAUAUCAUGGGAUGUUAACUAA